UACGAAGGGGGCUAGCGUUGCUCGGAAUGACUGGGCGUAAAGGGCGCGUAGGCGGUUUGUACAGUCAGAUGUGAAAUUCCUGGGCUCAACCUGGGGGCUGCAUUGAUACGUGCGGACUUGAGUGAGGAAGAGGGUCGUGGAAUUCCCAGUGUAGAGGUGAAAUUCGUAGAUAUUGGGAAGAACACCGGUGGCGAAGGCGGCGACCUGGUCCUUGACUGACGCUGAGGCGCGAAGCGUGGGGAGCGAACAGG
rnacentral:rRNA from 1 species